rnacentral:rRNA from 1 species
UACAGAGGUGGCAAGCGUUGUUCGGAAUUACUGGGCGUAAAGGGCGCGUAGGCGGUCUUGCAAGUCCCGUGUGAAAUCCCUCGGCUCAACUGAGGAACUGCACGGGAAACUGCUUGGCUUGAGUUCGGGAGAGGGAAGCGGAAUUCCGGGUGUAGCGGUGAAAUGCGUAGAUAUCUGGAGGAACACCGGUGGCGAAGGCGGCAUCCUGGACCAACACUGACGCUGAGUGAGCGAAAGCCAGGGGAGCAAACGGG